rnacentral:rRNA from 1 species
GAUGCACGCUAGCUACAGGCUUAACACAUGCAAGUCGAGGGACCGGCGCACGGGUGAGUAACACGUAUCCAACCUGCCCUUUACUCGGGGAUAGCCUUUCGAAAGAAAGAUUAAUACCCGAUAUAAAGGAUGGGGAUGCGUUCCAUUAGGUUGUUGGUGAGGUAACGGCCCACCAAGCCUUCGAUGGGUAGGGGUUCUGAGAGGAAGGGACCCCACAGUUGAAACGGGAACACGUUCAAAAUACUACGGGAGGCAGCAGGGAGGAAGAGUGGGAAAAGGGCGGUAGCCUGAACCAGCCAAGUAAGCGGAAGGAUGAAGGUGCAUUGGUCGUAAACUUCUUUUAUAUAAGAAUAUGUAUUAUAUGAAUAAGGAUCGGCUAACUCCGUGCCAGCAGCCGCGGUAAUUC